AUUGAACGCUGGCGGCAGGCCUAACACAUGCAAGUCGAGCGAUCGGCGGACGGGUGAGUAAUGUAUGGGGCUCUGCCCGAUAGAGGGGGAUAACUACUGGAAACGGUGGCUAAUACCGCAUACUAUCGGAUGAACCUAUAUGGGAUUAGCUAGUAGGUGUGGUAAAGGCUCACCAAGGCGACGAUCUCUAGCUGGUCCGAGAGGAUGAUCAGCCACACUGGGACGGGGAAACGGCCCAGACUCCUCCGGGAGGCAGAGGUGGGGAAUAUUGGAAAAUGGGCGCAAGCAUGAUGCAACCAUGCCGCUUGUAUGAAGAAGGCCUUGGGGUUGUAAAGUACUUUCAGCGAGGAGGCGUUACCCACAGAGAAAGCACCGGCUAACUCCGUGCCAGCAGCCGCGGUAAUUC
rnacentral:rRNA from 1 species